rnacentral:rRNA from 1 species
AGGAUCAUUAUUGAAUGAAUGUAGAGUUGGUUGUCGCUGGCCCUUUCGGGGGCAUGUGCACGCCUUCUCUUUCAUCCACACACACCUGUGCACUUGUGAGACGGAGGGACUUUAAUUAGUCUUCCGUCUACUUAAUUACACAAACUCAUUUAAUUAAAUUGAAUGUAAUUGAUGUAACGCAUCAUUAGAACUAAGUUUCAACAACGGAUCUCUUGGCUCUCGCAUCGAUGAAGAACGCAGCGAAAUGCGAUAAGUAAUGUGAAUUGCAGAAUUCAGUGAAUCAUCGAAUCUUUGAACGCACCUUGCGCUCCUUGGUAUUCCUUGGAGCAUGCCUGUUUGAGUAUCAUGAAAUUCUCAAAGUAAAUCUUUUGUUAAUUCAACUGGUUUGCUUUGGACUUGGAGGUCUUUGCAGAUUUCACCUCUGCUCCUCUUAAAUUCAUUAGCUGGAUCUCAGUAUAUGCUUGGUUCCACUCGGCGUGAUAAGUAUCACUCGCUGAGGACACUGUAAAAAGUGGCCAGGAAAUGCAGAUGAACCGCUUCUAACAGUCUAUUAAGUUAGACAAUUAAUUUAAGAUCUGAUCUCAAAUCAGGUAGGACUACCCGCUGAACUUAAGCAUAUCAAUAAGCGGAGGAAAAGAAACUAACAAGGAUUCCCCUAGUAACGGCGAGUGAAGCGGGAAGAGCUCAAAUUUAAAAUCUGGCGGUGUAUUCCGUCCGAGUUGUAGUCUAGAGAAGCAUCAUCCGUGCUGGACCAUGUACAAGUCUCUUGGAACAGAGCGUCAUAGAGGGUGAGAAUCCCGUCCUUGACAUGGACUCCCAGUGCUUUGUGUUGUGCUCUCAACGAGUCGAGUUGUUUGGGAAUGCAGCUCAAAAUGGGUGGUAAAUUCCAUCUAAAGCUAAAUA